UCUCCAAAUAUUAUCCUUUAUGGAUAACUCAAAUGAACAGAGGUCUAAGUCUCCAAAUGUUACCCUUUAUGAGUAACCCAAAUGAACAGAGUCCUAAAUCUCCAAAUGUUACCCUUUAUGAGUAACCCAAAUGAACAGAGCCCUAAGCCUCCAAAUGUUACCCUUUAUGGAUAACCCAAAUGAACAGAGUCCUAAGCCUCCAAAUGUUACCCUUUAUGAGUAACUCAAAUGAACAGAGUCCUAAGUCUCCAAAUGUUACCCUUUAUGGAUAAUCCAAAUGAACAGAACCCUAAGUCUCCAAAUGUUACCCUUUAUGAGUAACCCAAAUGAACAGAGUCCUAAAUCUCCAAAUGUUAUCUAUGAGUAACCUAAAUGAACAGUGCCGAUGAACAGUACCGUGAACAGUGUCGAUGAACAGACAAGUGGUCGAUGUGGCAACUCCAGCGAUGGGGAGAUCCAAAUGUUACCCUUUAUGAGUAACCCAAAUGAACAGAGUCCUAAGUCUCCAAAUGUUACUCAUGGAUAACCCAAAUGAACGAAGCCCUAAGUCUCCAAAAAAAAACUUUGAAAACUUG
rnacentral:lncRNA from 1 species